rnacentral:rRNA from 1 species
AUUGAACGCUGGCGGCAUGCUUUACACAUGCAAGUCGAACGGUAACAGGUCUUCGGAUGCUGACGAGUGGCGAACGGGUGAGUAAUGUAUCGGAACGUGCCCAGUAGUGGGGGAUAACUACUCGAAAGAGUGGCUAAUACCGCAUGAGAACUGAGGUUGAAAGCGGGGGACCUUCGGGCCUCGCGCUACUGGAGCGGCCGAUAUCAGAUUAGGUAGUUGGUGGGGUAAAGGCCUACCAAGCCGACGAUCUGUAGCUGGUCUGAGAGGACGACCAGCCACACUGGGACUGAGACACGGCCCAGACUCCUACGGGAGGCAGCAGUGGGGAAUUUUUGGACAAUGGACGCAAGUCUGAUCCAGCAAUGCCGCGUGCAGGACGAAGGCCUCGGUU